rnacentral:rRNA from 1 species
CGGGGGGAGCAAGCGUUGUUCGGAUUUACUGGGCGUAAAGGGCGCGUAGGCGGCCACCGCAAGUCGACUGUGAAAUCUCCGGGCUUAACCCGGAAAGGUCAGCCGAUACUGCGGGGCUAGAGUGCAGAAGGGGCAACUGGAAUUCUCGGUGUAGCGGUGAAAUGCGUAGAUAUCGAGAGGAACACCUGCGGCGAAGGCGGGUUGCUGGGCUGACACUGACGCUGAGGCGCGAAAGCUAGGGGAGCGAACGGGAUUAGAUACCCCGGUAGUCCUAGCCUUAAACGACGAAUGCUUGGUGUCUGGGGUUUUAUAGUCCCCGGGUGCCGUCGCUAACGCUUUAAGCAUUCCGCCUGGGGAGUACGGUCGCAAGACUG